AUUUACUUGCAGCCAGGCCACGGCAUUAUGGACUACUCGUAUCUGAAUCAGGCCGCGGCCGCAGCAGCGGCCGGCUUCGAGGCCUCCAGCUGCGCUUUGGCCGCCGGUGAGAUGCAGUGCAGUUACGGAGACCUGAGCUCGUGCUCGCAGAUGAGCCAAGCGGCCUAUCGUUACACCGCGGCACGAGCCGCCGGAUAUCCCGGUAAUGCUGCCGCUGCUGCCGGUGCUGCGGCCGGCGGCACGCCGCUCACGGCCCAUCACACUGCGCACCCCCAUGCCCACGCGCACCAUGGGGCCCACUCGACCCCCUGCUCCGUAAUGGCCGCCAGGUCCCAGGAAGUCCAUCGGCACGCCGCCUCCAUCUUCCCGUCGGCUAUCAAUCUUCAGAGUGGUUUGGGAUAUAAAGCUUACUCAGGACAUGAUGGCCUCGCGGAGAAGAGAAAACAACGUCGGAUACGAACGACAUUUACGUCGGCCCAACUGAAAGAAUUGGAACGUGCAUUCCAAGAGACACAUUAUCCAGACAUUUACACCAGAGAAGAGAUUGCUAUGAAGAUCGACCUGACGGAAGCUAGAGUGCAGGUAUGGUUCCAGAAUCGGCGAGCGAAGUUUCGCAAGCAGGAGAGGUUGGCCCAGCAGAAGUCUACGUCGCAAAGUGGCAUCGGGGCUGACAGCGGCGCAUCCAGCCCCGUGGCCGGUACCGUGAAGGCGGAGGGACGCUCGCCGAGGAGUCCGGCGACGCCACCCGGUGGCUCGAACAGCGUGCUUUCAUCGAAUGAGAUCAAGCCGAUCGCUAAUCAGAACCUGGUGAACGUGAAGCACACGGAUGGCACAAGCGAUGGCUCGCCCAACGCCCGGGGAAGCAGCGGCGGUGGCGGCAGUGGUACCUGGGGCUCCUGCAGUCCUAGGCCCUUCUCGGCGGCCCUACCGCCCUAUCUGUUAGAUCCGCUACCGCUGAAAACCGCGAAUCUCUACUAAACCUUCUACCCCCGUCACCGGCCUGGCGGAGAAUGUAAAUACAGAGAGCCGCCCGCUCGUCAACACGGAGACGACACGCCGUUCAGGUUCAGGGAGCGUCCAGGUUCCUUCCUGAGCCCCGGUUUCCCGCGACUUCGUCGGUGCCCAUCCGUGCGAUACGUGCGGUAUCUUUAAGAACUCCGGUAAGACGCGCCGCUCAUAUUUUUGACAAAGAUACAUUUAGGCAGUCGGGAGAAGGUGUGUCAGCUUGCUUUGACGUAGCUGAGAUACAUUCCGAAAUUUGUGCGCACACAAGACAGAGCGUUAAAUGCCAAUCAUUGAAAAAUCAGGAGCCGAGAUCGACGGAAUUUCUUCUUAGGAAGCCCUUAAGAUAAAUACUUACAUACCGUCCUGUGUGUCUCGUACCAAGAAGAGCGAGGGUACCUGUCUUAUCACGAUAUAUUAUGGACAAUUUCGGCAAUGGUCUGACUCGUUCGUCGUGCGCCGAUAACGAGCGCACCUUAUUCUGCAGACGUAAAGGUUCCUCUGAAAGUUAAUGGGAAUAGCGUGCGAAAAUUUCUAUCGUGUCCCGAGGCAAUCCAUAUCCCAGUUCGAUAACGAAUGUGAUUUUUUAACGAGGCACUUUUACAAAACUGCGUAUUACUGGCGUGCAGCGAGCCGCGCUUUCGCCCGUCUCUGCGAAAGACGCGCAUUAUCGAUUAUACGCGACGGCAACGAGAGGGGAAAAGCUCGUCUCCGCAAGCCAGGAAGCGUUCGUGAAUUCUGAACAGCUUCGUUGCUCCCGCCAUUAUUGUUAAGAUUAACGAAUGGUAAUUAUCGAUAUGUGUGAACCGGAACUUGUACAGUUGUUGCUAUAAAUAUAUGAAAUUAGUGUUUUACACCAUA